rnacentral:rRNA from 1 species
AAAGCUCCCGUGGAACAGGAUGGACCCGCGUCUGAUUAGCUCGUUGGAGGGGUAACGGCCCACCUGGCUGGGAUCAGAGGCCGGCCUGAAAGGGUGAACGGCCAAAUUGGGACUGAUACACGGCCCAAACUCCUACGGGAGGCUUGGUGGGGAAUAUUGCACAUGGGGGGAAACCCUGAUGCAGCGACGCCGCUCUAGUGAAGAAAAUUUCGGGAUGAAAAGCUCUAUCAGCAGGGAAGAGAGGACGGGACCUGAGCAAGAAGCCCCGGCUGAGUACGUGCCAGCCCCCCCGGUAAUACGUGGGGGGCAAGCGUUAUCCGGAUUUAGUGGGUGUAGGGGGAGCGUAGAGGGCAAGGAAAGUCUGGAGUGAAAGCCCGGGGCUCAACCACGGGACUGCUUUGGAAACUGUUUAGCUGGAGUGCAGGAGAGGUAAGUGGAAUUCCUAGUGUAGCGGUGAAAUGCGUAGAUAUUAGGAGGAACACCAUUGGCGAAGGCAGCUUACUGGACUGUGACUGACGUUGAGGCUCGAAAGCGUGGGGAGCAGACAAGAUUAGAUACCCUGCUAGUCCACACGGUAAACGAUGAUCACUAGGUGUCGGGGGACGAACGUCCUUCCGUGCCGCCGCAGACGCACUAAGUGAUCCACCUGGGGAGUACGUUUCGCAACAAUGAAACUCGAAGGAAUUGACGGAGACCGCACGAGCGGGGGAGCUAGUGGUUAAAUUCGAAGAAAACCGAAAAACUUUUCAAGUCUUG